GAUGAACGCUAGCGGCAGGCCUAACACAUGCAAGUCGAGGGGCAUCGCGGUGCAGCAAGUGCACUGGCGGCGACCGGCGUACGGGUGCGUAACGCGUAUGCAACCUGCCCCGCACCGGGGGAUAGCCCGCCGAAAGGCGGAUUAAUACCCCAUGGUCCCGGGGGCCCGCAUGGGCAUCCGGGUAAAGCCUUGGCGGUGCGGGAUGGGCAUGCGUGCCAUUAGCUGGCUGGUGGGGUAACGGCCCACCAGGGCAACGAUGGCUAGGGGGUCUGAGAGGAUGGUCCCCCACACUGGUACUGAGACACGGACCAGACUCCUACGGGAGGCAGCAGUGAGGAAUAUUGGUCAAUGGGCGGAAGCCUGAACCAGCCAUGCCGCGUGCGGGAUGAAGGCCCUACGGGUUGUAAACCGCUUUUCCCCGGGAAGAAUAAGCCCCCCGCGGGGGGUGAUGCCGGUACCGGGGGAAUAAGGAUCGGCUAACUCCGUG
rnacentral:rRNA from 1 species